rnacentral:sRNA from 1 species
CAAAUCCUCGGACCCAUUAAAAACACCAGGAAUUUUCCCACUGAGUCCAGGGAGGAAGCUACAAUCAUUUACAGAAAACUUCCACUGAAAAUUGACACCAUCUAGAAAUGGGCCUCUUAGGAUUCAGCGAGAUGAGACUUCUUAAUUGCUGCUUUUAGAAACUGACAUCCAUGUUGACAUUGAGAGUUCAUUUGUGAAGGCUGAAGAGAUGGCUCACCAGGUAAG